rnacentral:rRNA from 1 species
GUGGGGAAUAUUCCGCAAUGGACGAAAGUCUGACGGAGCAACGCCGCGUGAGUGAAGAAGGCCUUCGGGUCGUAAAGCUCUGUCAUCAGGGACGAACGGCCGGUGGAGUGGAAAGCCACCGGAUUGACGGUACCUGAGAAGGAAGCCACGGCUAACUACGUGCCAGCAGCCGCGGUAAUACGUAGGUGGCAAGCGUUGUCCGGAAUUAUUGGGCGUAAAGCGCGCGCAGGUGGGAUCUUAAGUCCAUUUUGAAAGUUCGGAGCUCAACUCCGUGAUGGGAUGGAAACUGGGAUUCUUGAGUACCGGAGAGGAAAGCGGAAUUCCCCGUGUAGCGGUGAAAUGCGUAGAUAUGGGGAGGAACACCAGUGGCGAAGGCGGCUUUCUGGACGGUGUCUGACACUGAGGCGCGAAAGCUAGGGGAGCGAACGGGAUUAGAAACCCCGGUAGUCC